AUGGUCGCGAGAGUCGAAUGCGGGGUCACUUAGACCCGUAAUAAAGUUUGCUUUGGAAACCGGUGUCUCGUCGCUCGCGGGUCAAAAUGACCCAGCAUUCGACGAAGAAUGACAUUUAUACUAAACAACUAGCGUUAUGUUCGGCGAACAAAGAAGCUUCGCGUUUUAAUAGCAAAAUUAACUCGUCAAAAUUAAUCAGAAUGCGGCAUCUGCAAUCCUAACCUCGCCAGCAAUUGUCAUGUCGACGUCCUCGUCCUUGCAGCUCAGCAUGAGCACGUUCAUGCCAGCGAGUAUCGGCUUGCCGCCAUUUGGAUCGUCGACGAAGGCCGCCACCGUCAACCCUUCCUUCAGCGUUUCCGUCCAAAGAUUCCUGAAGAACUGCACGUACACCGGGUCCUCGAUCCCAUCUAAAAGGCGUUUUUAAUUAACACUGUGGAGUGAUCCUGACGCGGGGUCCUGAUGUGAGGUCAUGAUGGACCCGUCCAAGAACAAGAGGGCGAAUGGAAAUUGGGGUAGCUGGAGGGUUCCACGGCGAAUCAAUUAGGGAGAUUUUACUGUAUUUGUUAUCAAAGUCUUAUUGUCACGUUUGCAAAUGUUAAAUAUGUUUAUAAUUGGAAGAAAUUAAAUUUUUCAAAUAGAUAUUAACACCUA